GUGGAAUUUGAUAUUCAAAGCACAAAAUGUUAGAGGAACUCAGUGUGUCAGGCAACAUGUAUGGAGGGAAAUGGAAAAUCAAUCCCAGGAAACUGCUGUCCCAUCUGUGGAAUGGUCUGCAGUUCCUCAUAAGAGCCGCAUCAAUCACCUUAAAACCUUGAACCCAAUGUGAAAGGAAGCCAUCCUCAAUCUCAAGGGACUGCUGAAGAAGAAGUGGACAUCUGAAUCAGCCGAGGUUCACUGAGGGUUAUUGAAUGUUUUAACUCAAAAGAGCCAGAAGCAUCUUGAAGAAGGACAUGAACUUUCCAUUAUGGAAGACUAGAACAAAAUCAGCAUGGUAGUGAAGAGGAUCUACUUUACAGUGCAAGGAUCCAAGUUCAAUUCCUGCCGCUGUCUGUAUAGACUUCAUACAUUCUCCGGCAUCUCAUGAUUCUUGUCCCACAUUCCAAAGACAUACAGUUUUGUCAAGGCAGAUGUUGAGCAUGAUAGAAGUCCACGAAAAUGAGAGCAGAGAGCAGGCAGGUGUUCAGCUCAUCUCCCUGUGCUUCACCGGUCUUCCUCACCUUCUCACGAUCUGCUUUUGAGGAAAGUGAUGAAGUCUUGUGUUCCAUGUUGCAAGGAUUGAAUGGUGAGGCUUGUGAUUUUGGACUUAUUUGGACUCAUCAAAUAAUAUUUGAUGCCACAGUGGUAGAAAAUUCAAAUUUGAUUGCUUAUGAUAAAUGUGUGUGUGAUUAUAAAACACAAUUUCUACUGGACACUAAGUUCCUCUGACUUCAAAGGACCAUAGAGUGUGAUUAUGCAUUGGUGGCAAUCUACAGUAUGUAGUGCUGGCCAAUAUUUGGAUAGUGGUUAGAAGAAAUGACUCAGAAUGAACCCCGCCCAAAUCUUUUGUAGUUUAGCCCACAUAAUGGAACAUGAAAGAAUAUAUAACAUAAAUGCAUUAGUGGAGUUGUACUUCUUAUUUCUAUAUAGUGCACUUUUCCUUUAACGCUUUUUUUGGAAACUCAGACAGCGUGAAUAUUGUAAUGGAUCAGAUCUUGUGAAAUAAACCGAGAUGAAAUGUAGAAAGAUUUAGUCAUAUUACUUCCAUUAGCAACUGCAGAAAAAAUUAUUGAGACAAAGAGUACUGCCUAGAACAAGAUAUGAACAGAUCAUAAUCUCUCAAUGUAUGCUGACUCGCACAUUGCUGGCACUGUACUUUUCUCAAACUUUUUUCCAGCAUCUGCAGACUUUCUUGUGUUUCUGAUUUGCUGCUCCACUCCAAAAUCUCUUUGAGGGAUGCCUACCCUCAAGAUGUUUAAGUCUUCUCUUCAACAGAAUUUCAGAGAGACCCUCUCUCACUACACCCCUCCACCCCACCUCGUGAUCUCUACUGUCCUCUGACUCUUUGAUCAUGUACUCACCCAGACUCCCUACCACAGUCAUGUAUCCUUCCUGGGAAAUUGUCACCUCUUCCUGGAUCCCCUCUUCCUUCCCUCUCCUAUCAGAUACCUUCCUCUCCAGCCCUUUACCUUCCUCCCCGCCACCUUCUUUCAAGAUUUUCAAGGUAUUCAGGAUUGCACCAGUGUACAUCUGAGACUCCCUGUGGAGCUGCAAGAAGCUGAGAUAGAUAGAUACUUUAUUGAUCCCAAAGGAAAUUACAGUGUCACAGUAGCAUUGCAA